UACAGAGGGCGCGAGCGUUGUCCGGAAUCAUUGGGCGUAAAGCGCGUGUAGGCGGCUCGAUAAGUCUGCUGUGAAAGUCCAGGGCUCAACCCUGGGAUGCCGGUGGAUACUGUCGAGCUUGAGUCCGGAAGAGGCGAGUGGAAUUCCUGGUGUAGCGGUGAAAUGCGCAGAUAUCAGGAGGAACACCUAUGGCGAAGGCAGCUCGCUGGGACGUGACUGACGCUGAGACGCGAAAGCGUGGGGAGCAAACAGG
rnacentral:rRNA from 1 species